UUCAUCCCUAAGGAUGUCACUUAUACAAGAACUAGCAUAUCAAAAAGGUAACACCGAUAUACGAUGAAAUCCAAGCGUAAACCCCGACUCGAUGUUACAUUACCAGAGCAUUCACUAAUUACAAACUCUAGUCAAAGCUAGUACUAAGAGGAGUAAUCUAUGCUAAGUCUCCUCACCAAAAAGUACUUCAACACCACGCUAGAAC
rnacentral:lncRNA from 1 species